GAUGAACGCUGGCGGCGUGCCUAAUACAUGCAAGUCGAGCGAACGGACGAGAAGCUUGCUUCUCUGAUGUUAGCGGCGGACGGGUGAGUAACACGUGGAUAACCUACCUAUAAGACUGGGAUAACUUCGGGAAACCGGAGCUAAUACCGGAUAAUAUUUUGAACCGCAUGGUUCAAAAGUGAAAGACGGUCUUGCUGUCACUUAUAGAUGGAUCCGCGCUGCAUUAGCUAGUUGGUAAGGUAACGGCUUACCAAGGCAACGAUGCGUAGCCGACCUGAGAGGGUGAUCGGCCACACUGGAACUGAGACACGGUCCAGACUCCUACGGGAGGCAGCAGUAGGGAAUCUUCCGCAAUGGGCGAAAGCCUGACGGAGCAACGCCGCGUGAGUGAAGAAGGUCUUCGGAUCGUAAAACUCUGUUAUUAGGGAAGAACAAAUGUGUAAGUAACUAUGCACGUCUUGACGGUACCUAAUCAGAAAGCCACGGCUAACUACGUG
rnacentral:rRNA from 1 species